rnacentral:rRNA from 1 species
AUUGAACGCUGGCGGCAUGCCUUACACAUGCAAGUCGAACGGCAGCACGGGAGCAAUCCUGGUGGCGAGUGGCGAACGGGUGAGUAAUGUAUCGGAACGUGCCCAGUCGUGGGGGAUAACGUAGCGAAAGCUACGCUAAUACCGCAUACGAUCUAUGGAUGAAAGCGGGGGAUCGCAAGACCUCGCGCGAUUGGAGCGGCCGAUAUCAGAUUAGGUAGUUGGUGGGGUAAAGGCCUACCAAGCCGACGAUCUGUAGCUGGUCUGAGAGGACGACCAGCCACACUGGGACUGAGACACGGCCCAGACUCCUACGGGAGGCAGCAGAGGGGAAUUUUGGACAAUGGGCGCAAGCCUGAUCCAGCAAUGCCGCGUGCAGGAUGAAGGCCUUCGGGUUGUAAACUGCUUUUGUACGGAGCGAAAAGGCUUUCACUAAUACUGGGGGCUCAUGACGGUACCGUAAGAAUAAGCACCGGCUAACUACGUGCCAGCAGCCGCGGUAA